AACGAACGCUGGCGGCAUGCCUAACACAUGCAAGUCGAACGAGACCUUCGGGUCUAGUGGCGCACGGGUGCGUAACGCGUGGGAACCUGCCCUUAGGUUCGGAAUAACUCCCCGAAAGGGGUGCUAAUACCGGAUAAUGUCUUCGGACCAAAGAUUUAUCGCCUUUGGAUGGGCCCGCGUUGGAUUAGCUAGUUGGUAGGGUAAAAGCCUACCAAGGCGACGAUCCAUAGCUGGUCUGAGAGGAUGAUCAGCCACACUGGGACUGAGACGCGGCCCAGACUCCUACGGGAGGCAGCAGUGGGGAAUAUUGGACAAUGGGCGAAAGGCUGAUCCAGCAAUGCCGCGUGAGUGAUGAAGGCCUUAGGGUUGUAAAGCUCUUUUACCCGGGAUGAUAAUGACAGUACCGGGAGAAUAAGCUCCGGCUAACUCCGUG
rnacentral:rRNA from 1 species